GCUUCAGGUUUGUCCUCUAGAUUACCACAAAGUAUACACAGUAGUAAACACACGGUGCUGCCAGUCCACACUGUAUUUGAGAUGGAUUUUUUUUUUUUUUUUUUAUACUGGUAUCCCUGCUACCGGAUCUGUAAUCUUCAUUACACAUUCUGUGCUUCGCCGGGCUACACGUGCCUACGCGUCAGUUAUUUGUAUAACGAAACAAACAGUUUAAAGAAUACUUUCCUUUGUUAGUGUUAGAAAAGGGAAAACAAACUCCUUUAUCUGAAGAAUACGAUAAUAUAGCAAGAAAAAUUAAGAAAUUGGGUAAGAUACUGACGCGCGCACGACACAAAGAAAGGUCGUCCUAGUCUCCAAGAAGAUUGUCCACCUCAUCAACAGUGUCAUCAGAAUCGAAAAACUCAUCAAGUCAUCGCCCGCUUCAUUGUCCGCAUUGCAGGACACAUUAAACAUUGAAGAAUUACAGGUUAAAAGUUACUCGGAAGACAAAGGAGCCUGCCUACAAGAAUCACCACGCCAACUCUGACGUGACGACAGUUUGAACUGUCGUCACAUGGUCGUCACGUCCGUCGCGACAUCGCGAUCGAAAGUCGAAACCACCAACAGACAGGGUAAGAUAUGCCGGCAGGCUUUCAAACUUUUAUGAUUGGUGGUCAGUGAUGCUAUUAUAAUGUCAUAGAUAAAAGGGUACCUAAAAGAUGCCUCUUUUGAGUCAACGACUUUUAUUGUUCCUUCGGUACAUUCGAGUUCACCAAAACAGAGAAACGUUCCUGUAUAAGGCGAAUACUUCCAUGUCAGAAAAUAUUGAUAUACGAACGUCCUAUCCAUGAUUUUACAUGUAAUAGACGCUAUUACGGAAUGCAAACUUUGCUUAGAUCAACUUUUAAUUCCUUCAUUUUUAAUUAGAAAACAUAAUGGGAAAUAUAGAUUCAUACUAAACUUCAAAUAACUGAACAGAUUUAUUGACACUUCUUAUGUUCAACUUGUUUUUAAAACUGUUUUAUAAGUCCUCUAGACCUGAGGGAUGCUUAAUUUUUGAUUAGCAUUAAUCAUAAUAAUAAAAACAUAUACACAUGUAUAUUCGUUUUAAAUUUGGAGAAAAACUAAUAAUUUAAUGUAUUUUGGCCGUAUUACUGCGUCCGUUGUCUGGAUCAAAAUAAUGAAAGCAGUGACCAAUUUACUGAGAUCAAGUAGUCACAAUAUAUUUUGAUGAUAUUUUAUUAUAUCUAAUAAUAGCUUAUACUCCCAAAAGGCCUUGGGGAUUAUUAUCAGUACCUACUGUUCAUCUAUGCUUAUAAUAAAUCUGUUGAGAGGUCAACUUAAUAAUGUUCGUAAGUUCCUGGGUUUCAUAAUCAAUUCUCAGAACAGAACUACAAAUCACUUUACCUGAGGAAAAGAUUUUGAAAAUUAAAAAGGAAGUCAAUAAAUUGCAAAUAUUAAUUGUAUUAUAGCUGUAAGGUCAUAUCAUUCGCUUGUUUAUUGGGGUUACUUACCUUAGAAUACCCGCCGUCCGAUACGGAUGGCUCUAAACAAACGAAAAAAAAAAAAAAAAAAAAAAAUGGAAAUAUGACAAUAUUUGAAAGAUUACAAAUAGAACAAAUAUUUGACCAUCAUCAUUAUUAACUAGUAUUUAGUGGUUAAUGAUAUUCAUCAAACUGAGUUUUGUAUAAAAAUCUAUAGCGAUGCCUCAACUACGGGUUGGGGGGCCGCCUGUGGAGAGGAACGUGCUAGUGUUAUGUGGUCGGACACAGUACGUGAACGACACAUCUAUUAUUUAGUACAAUAAUUAUUUUUAUUGGCAGCAUUCCGGACUCGACGGAAAAUUUUUGCAAAGUUUUAUCAAAAUACUCAAAUUAUUCUUACGAAUUCUCAGCUAUUUCAUACACAAACCGCAUGGGAGGCGGUGAAUUCCCAAACCUUACAACAAACAAGAAACUGUAUACUGUAACUUGCAUCUUACAAGUACAUCAGUUCAGCAGACUAUUAUGUCGCAGAUAAAGAACCACGUUGCGUCCAUCCAAAAAUUGAAUGGGAACUAUCAUGAUGCCAACCUUUUGGAAAACCAGAAACUGAUUUAUUCACAAGGAGGCUGACUAAAAAAUGUGCAAGAUACAUUUCUUGGCAUAGAGAUCCUGACGCUUUUAUUAUAGAUGCAUUUACAAUUUAAUAGUUGAGUAAAAUAUUUGAUAACAAUGCAAAAAGGAUCAAUGAUAGCCCCACUCUGGCUGACACAACCGUGGUACCCCUUAUAAAAGAGUCUUUUUACUUUCAGAACCACUUAUAAUUAAACCACCAUAAACGCUGUUUAUCUCCCAUUCCAGCAACCGAGAUGUACAUCAAGAGAUUGCCCUGGUUACAGGAAUGUUGUCUUCUCUUUCCGAGAACUCAGUAAGGCAAUACAAUACAUACCUAAAGAAGUGGUGUAUAUAUUUUGUAAAUACAGUAAUAUUAAUUUGUAUCUUGGUACCGUACCAAAUGUUAUAAGUUUUUUAAUAUUAUUUUAUGAAUCAGGUUUGCAAUAUGGAACAGCUGUAGAUCAGCUCUUUGACUAAUUCUGGGCGAAGAAGUGGUCAAUGAUAACCAUAUUAAAACUUUAAUGAGGGAGUUUAUAGACUACGUCCACCCUUGCCCAAAUAAUAAAACUAUUAUACCUGGGAAACAUUUAUUAUGCUUACUUUUUAUAGCAAAUUGGUUCUCCAAUGAAUCAUUGAGUUUCAAAAAACUGAAUUAAAAUAUUUUCUAUUUAAUAAUGAUACCCGAUUUAAUCAAAAGCUCUCGUCCUGAAACAUCUCAAUUGAUUCAUCAUCUGUAUUGAUUAUUCCAAAUUUUCCAGAAAUAUGUCCUGUUGGUACACUACAUUUUUAUUUUCAUACAACACAAAGCUUGCGUAGUGAAAAUAAACUUUUUAUAAGACCUAGAAAGUCACAAAAAUCAGUUGUGCUCACAGUGUGCCACGACUUCCAAAGCUCAUGGGCUGAAUAUAAAUUUAAAUCUGAUUAUAAAAUAUGCAGGGUGGAGCAGUAACUCCCUAACAUUUGAAAAAUUCUGUAAUAGAUAUAUAACUAAGUAUAAUUUUGAUAGUUUCGUACUUUUCAAUACUGUUUAUAUUAAAAAUAAUGUUCUAAUGAUUGAUCACAAGACCGAUAAUAAUAAUUGAUCAACAAUUUUAAUAAUUGUAUCUUUUUUCAUCGGGAAUAAAAUUAUUCACUGUGAUCUAAAAGUUGAUAUUUUCACUCUCAACAUCUACUGUGUAUACUUUGUGGUAAUCUAGAGGACAAACCUGAAGCAUAAUUAAUGAUUAAACGAACUUACCUGUACGUGAAGUUCUAUCAUAAUUAUGCGAAGGUUUGUCCGAAUAGAUUACCACCCCGCCCACCCCAUUGUGCAAUUUCCCGAAUAAUAUAUAAAGUCUAUAUAAUUUAUAUAUACAAUAUUUAUUAUAUAAUAUGAUUAUAUAAGAAUUACUACUUGUCUAACUUAACAUUUGAAUAUCAACUUUAGUAAUUGCAUAAACUGCUCUGCUCUAAACUGAAUGAAGAUUACAGAUCCGGUAGCAGGGAUACCAGUAUAAAAAAAAAAAAAAAAAAUCCAUCUCAAAUACAGUGUGGACUGGCAGCACCGUGUGUUUACUACUGUGUAUACUUUGUGGUAAUCUAUUCGGACAAACCUUCGCAUAAUUAUGAUAGAACUUCACGUACAGGUAAGUUCGUUUAAUCAUUAAUUAUCUAAAACUUAUCAUUAAUAAAUAUGAGUUUUUGACGGCCUCCGUGGCGCAGUGGUAUGCGCGGUGGAUUUACAGGGAGGUCCUGGGUUCGAUCCCCGGCUGGGCAGAUUGAGAUUUUCUUAAUUUGUCCAGGUCUGGCUGGUGGGAGGCUUCGGCCGUGGCUAGUUACCACCCUACCGGCAAAGACGUACCGCCAAGCGAUUUAGCGUUCCGGUACGAUGCCGUGUAGAAACCGAAAGGGGUGUGGAUUUUCAUCCUCCUCCUUGACAAGUUAGCCCGCUUCCAUCUUAGACUGCAUCAUCACUUACCAUCAGGUGAGAUUGUAGUCAA